rnacentral:rRNA from 1 species
UACGUAGGGACCAAGCGUUGUUCGGAUUCAUUGGGCGUAAAGGGUGCGUAGGUGGCGCCGUAAGUCGGGUGUGAAAUUUCGGAGCUUAACUCCGAAACUGCAUUCGAUACUGCGGUGCUUGAGGACUGGAGAGGAGACUGGAAUUCAUGGUGUAGCAGUGAAAUCGCGUAGAGAUCAUGAGGAAGACCAGUGGCGAAGGCGGGUCUCUGGACAGUUCCUGACACUGAGGCACGAAGGCCAGGGGAGCAAACGGG